AAUCCCAUUACACACCUGAAAGGCAUCACCCCACCUUGAGAUCUGUACUCCUCUCCUCUCCUCUUCUCCCUCCUAAGUCUCCCGCACUCUCUCUCCUCCUCAAUCUCUGCAUCACAAAAUGGCCUCCAUCACUGCUGAUAGAGAAGACCAACCAUCCUCGAUGCCAGGGAAAGGAAAGAGUGAAGAAUCGGGGCAGGUCGGUUGUGUGGCUGUCGUCCUGCUGGCGUUGCUGCUCCCCUCCCCUUCGCUGCUCGCCUGCCCCCUUCCUCCCGUCAUGAGAUGCAGUUUGCACAAAGCCACCAUCUUAGAACAAGCGGGCAUUAAAUGGAAGUGGAAAAUAAGCAGGUUUUUAGAGUCAAGUCGAAUAACGUGAAAUCCAUUAAAUGGAGGAUCAGAGCUGAAACGGGAUGAUGGAGUCAAACGGGUCUUUACUAUGCAUGUGCCCCAACAUCAGAUAAAAGACAGCACUUUAAUUGUUCUACAUGACUUCAAUCUUUGGCAAUUUUGAAGCAGUUAUAGCAUCAAAUGUUCUAAGGGCUGUAUGUUGCGAGCCAAGCGUGUGUGUGUGUGUGUAGAAGAUGAGAGAAACUCUUUGUAGGGGUCUGGGUCAAAGUACUCAGCAAAUUGUGUAUUUGUAGAAACACACUUGUUUGGGAUUCUCCAAGUAUAAAAAGAUAUUCGGGUAGUUCUAUAGUGAAUUUAAUGAGGGUUUCCUAGAAAAUGUCAUUUUUAAAGGCCAAUCAUUUAGGUACUUUUUGAUAAAAAAAAAAAAAAGUCUAUAAAUUUAACGCAGUUCUAUCUAGUCUGUCUUGGUACAAUCUUUAGCAUAAUGCACUUUAUAACACCCCCCACCCUAGUUUUCAGUAUGAAAGGAAAAUGUAGUGGCCUAUGUACAUUCCCUAAUGUAUUUCUCCAAUAACUGAUUACUAAAUUAAAUCUAACAUGAAUUAUUAGAAAUGGUGUGUGAGGCUCUGUAGAUUUUGCAUGUAUGAGUGUGAGACCCACGGCAGCGGUGAACGAUACUGCACUCUGAUUGGACAGCUCAGUGUGUUGUGUGUCACACACUUGUUGGACAGAGAGCUGUUGUCUUUAAUUUCUAUGCAAUUGCGUUGGGCUUGCAAUCACCGGGAAGAGAAGGCAGAUCAGAGCAGCUAUUUAUGACAGCAGGUUAAAUCUGUUUUAAGGUGCGAGGAAUAUUUAGCAGAAUAUGUAUGAAUAUUUCAUUCCUACUAAAACAACAACAAACUGUGAAGUCAUCGACCACUAAAAAGCAUCUCCAUCUAGCUUUUGUGUUUUUCGUUUUUGUUUCAGCACUCAAAAAAGAAACAAAUUCAAGGGGUAUUAAAUGCUCUCUAAAUGUCUCUCUGUAUUUUGUUAUAAUCAAUCAUGGCUGAAGAAUUCAGUUGAAUAUGCAAAUGUUUUACAAAUUUAUUACGAUUUGAAGAGAAUUGUGCAAUCUAUUUUAUAAUCAUUUUUCUUAAAAUAAUUUUGAAUUACAGCAUUAUCCUUUCAGUAAAACUGAGAUAAUCUGUUUUUUAUGUCCCUGCAAAAUUUGACAAAUCAAGUGAAUGUGAAGACAAUGGAUUGAUGAAAUGGGGCCUUUACUAUGCAAUUUUUAACUUCUAUAUUUUUCUGGGAUUUUGUAGAAAGUGAUUUUCAGCUAGUCAUAGUCCUGUAAUGAUAACGAUAAUUGAAAUCAUACUUAAACUUGUAAUGCUAUAGUUCUAUUCAUCAUCUUACUGUAUGUUUUUCUUUCAUGUUGCAGUUGAACGCAAAUGUGUAAGAUAUUUUUGUUUCCUUUUUUUUUUUUUUGUAUUUCCGCAUGUGCCUUUUUAAUGU